UUUUUUCUUUCUUCUUUU
rnacentral:sRNA from 1 species